AUGGCCACAUACAGUGCAUGUGAAGCUCUCUGGAGCUCAGCAGUGUCAGGGAGCUGCUGGAGGCUGAGGAGAAAGGACUGACCAACCACCUAAACAUCAGUGAGAGCAAAGCACUUGGUACCAGCUUCUUCUAUGGCUUCCCGAGGAUAAGGCCCAACCAGAGUAUUUGCAAUGGAUCUGUGCCCUAGCUCCGGAGUUAUGUGAGCAGGGCAGGCAGCGAUGCAAAUCACUGACAGCAAAGAAGGAAAAUCCUUCUCAGGGAUGGGAUUACUCCAGAAAAUGAAAACAUGAAAGCUGAUAUGUGCCAAAACGGAGGGAAAGCCAGAUUUGGGACAGAUCAUUAUUCUGACGGCACGGCAUGUCGCUGUAAGCACAAGCUGUGAGGUUGCGGCUUGAAACACGUGCAGGUGACUAUAGGUCUGUCCUCCUGGGCUCCUCAUGUAUUCGUAUUGCCUUUGUCAUCUGUCACUGGCCUGACUGCCACCUUGGGUUGGACCCCUCCUCGUAGCUCAUCUUUGCUUUUUCCUCAGCACCAAGGAAUCCGCCUGUUCAAUUCAUUUGUCUUGCAAAUGGUUGGAAAUCUCUUUUUCUAGUCAGAAUUUUCCUCCUUUGACAUAGAGAUCGGCAUAGCCCAUCUCUUUCUUCUUCUCUUAUCGUGGCAGAUAUGAAUUGUUGGUGUGUCCUCAAUAUACUUCCCCUGUCCCCACUCUGUCCAUCAAAAUGUCAAAUUUUGCCUUACCUCAGUCACAUAACAGGAUUUACUUUUAUAUUUGGGGAAGAGGGUUAGGAUGGAAAUGCUCUACAUACUUCCCUCAGAACACUACCGUGUCUGUUAGUCAGCUACGCAGUUUGUCUUCUAUCCAUUCCAUAUGCAGGCUACCUUUUGCUGGUUUUACCUAAUUUUUUUCUUUUUUUCUCAGAACUCUAACCCAAAGUAGUCUGUGUUCAGCAGCGAUGCUUAGCACUCUGAGCCCACUGGCUGAGCUGGACAAACCUGUUCAUCUAAGAGAUGCUGCUGAGAAGAGAUCACUGAUUUUUUAACAGAAAUUAAGCCUUCAGCAAAUGGACAGUCUCACUAGGGUAUAUUUGAAGGCAUCAGGAUUCAGCAUGAGAACCUUCACCAACUCCUUCACAGUCAGAAAAGUUGUUACAAAUUUAGUGGGUUUUUUUGUGUUUUUUUUUUUUCUCCCGUUGCUCUAACUUCUCUGAGAGCUCCUUUGAUAAUGUGAUCAUCUACUGGCCCUGCAGGCUCCCUGGCAAGCAUCCCAUUUCUAGGAUCUAUAAUUAGUUGAGAUGUUUAUAGGGAAUUGUAUCUCAAAUUCUUUUUGUCCUCAUUUAUCUUGUGUUUACAUUUAAGCAGAUAGAAACUGUGAUCCCUCCUUUUUUUCUCAUUUGGAUAUGACUUAAAGUUUUUGAAGGGUGCCUUAUUGCUUUUACUAUCAUCUCUCACCUUGCUAUUUCACCAUGCCAACACUUCUCUGCUCUUCCUAGAGUCUCUGUUGACAGGUGGAAUGAAUUUACGUUAAGGCUCUGCGCGAUGUCUUUAAAUAGGCCUCAUGCUCUUGAUUUGGAUGUCUCAUAAAAAAUUAAAGGAUAAUGUAAAAAUAAAAAAUGCUGUUAAUGUCCCGAGGGACAAUGAAGACACGGGUCCUUCAGCUUGCUUGUGGAGGGGGUUGAUAACCCCCCUGGGGUCAGUGGCUGGAGGUCUGUGUCCACGACCGGCUCCGACAUGGUGCACCCGUGUCACCGGGAUCAGACUGUGCUGCUGGGAAUCCUUACCAGGACCUCGCUCUGUCGGGAGCUGCCUUGGAGCUCAAGGCCCGGCCCUUGGUCCUUGCCAGGGCCAGGCUGUAGCUCUGUCUGUGCCUUGCCAUGUUUGAUGCCCCAGUUCUGGCCCAGCGGCCUCAGCCCUGCGGAGCUGCCCAGUGACUGGCCUGACCCCGGCCAUUGCCCCCAGACCUCCCUGUGUGGGCACCGGGGGAAGUGUGAGCUGGGGGGAGAUGGCAACCAGGGGCCACCUCACCUCGCCGAGCCAGCACUGUCCACCUGGGUCCAUGGUGGGGAAUGACAGACCCAGGGUGGCACAGCAGACCCUGCUGCGGGCAAGGUUACCCCCUUCACCCCAUUAAACACGGCUGCACCAGGAAGGCUCGGGCUGGCAGUUUCCUCUUUUUUCUAUUUUACUCCAGUGCUGAAGAGCUGUAAAGCAAGUGGAAGCUCCUUCAAACCUGGUGCUGGGACCGCGGGCUGUAGGGCUGAGCAGGAUGUCUUUGGGGGAAGAUCGCUGCCCGCCGGCCUGCGCUGCCAGAGCGUGUCCUUGGCUGUCAGCGAUGGCCUGAGCUUGAUCCCAAAGCAAAUCAUGAACAUUAAACUCCUCAGAAGUAGCAAUUUCUGCAGUAAUAGCUAAAUUAUAGCCCAUACACUGAAUGAAACAAAAUUAGGGCUCCAUAUGUAGUAUUUAUUUGGGCAAUUUCACUUAACCUUGCCAUCUUUUAAUUCCUUUUAUACCUUGAUUUAGUAAUUUCUGAAAUUUUUUUAUAGCUCUGUUUAUUGAGAAGACCACAAGAGACCUGAACUGAAUAAUUUCCUGUUUCUGCAGUUUUGUACUUUAACAGCAACAGCACCGUCUGUACAUAAACUCUUUAAACAAUAAACAUCUUUAUCCGCAAUGGUUUAGGUGUUUAUUAUCUUUGUAGCACUUCAUUUGUAGGACACAGUACCACCUUCAGAAAAAAUGGAAUCAGUUUGUAGUCAAACUAGUGGUUCUGGUUAUUUUUUGAUACUGUAAGAAAAAAGGUACCUUUUAAAGCGACAAAAUAUACUGUAAUAAUGCAAAAAAGAUUUUAAAUGGUAAUUUAUCAAAUUAAAGAUCUGUUUGAUUGGACAGUGAAAUGCUGGACUGUGUAUUAAUAUCAGACCUUCAACAUUUCUAACAGUAAUACAGUUCAAAGCAAAUAUACUUCACAGGAAAAAUUAGGUUAUAUUCCAGCCAGUUAGUGUCACGGAACCGAUAAUUGAAUUCCUUGCU